rnacentral:rRNA from 1 species
AUUGAACGCUGGCGGCAUGCUUUACACAAGCAAGUCGAACGGUAACAGGCCUUCGGGUGCUGACGAGUGGCGAACGGGUGAGUAAUGCAUCGGAACGUACCCAGAGGUGGGGGAUAACGCAGCGAAAGCUGUGCUAAUACCGCAUGUGAUCUGAGGAUGAAAGCGGGGGACCGAGCAGCAAUGUUUGGCCUCGCGCCUUUGGAGCGGCCGAUGUCGGAUUAGCUAGUUGGUGGGGUAAAGGCCUACCAAGGCGACGAUCCGUAGCUGGUCUGAGAGGACGAACAGCCACACUGGGACUGAGACACGGCCCAGACUCCUACGGGAGGCAGCAGUGGGGAAUUUUGGACAAUGGGCGCAAGCCUGAUCCAGCAAUGCCGCGUGCGGGAAGAAGGCCUUCGGGUUGUAAACCGCUUUUGGCAGGAACGAAACGGUGUCCGCUAAUACCGGGCGCUAAUGACGGUACCUGCAGAAUAAGCACCGGCUAACUACGUG